rnacentral:rRNA from 1 species
AUAUCAGUCAUGCAUAGCAUAUCAAUAAGCGGAGGAAAAGAAACUAACAAGGAUUCCCUUAGUAACGGCGAGUGGAGCGGGAAGAGCUCAAAUUUGAAAUCUUCAAGGUUUUACCUUGACGAAUUGUAGUUUAAAGAAGUGUUUUCUGUUGAAGUUUUGGUAAAAGUUCUUUGGAAUAGGACAUCAUAGAGGGUGAGAAUCCCGUAUUUGACCAUUACUUUCAGCUUUGUGAUACACUUUCAAAGAGUCGGAUUGUUUGGGAAUGCAGUCCAAAAUGGGUGGUAAAUCUCAUCUAAAGCUAAAUAUUGGCGAGAGACCGAUAGCGAACAAGUACCGUGAGGGAAAGAUGAAAAGAACUUUGAAAAGAGAGUUAAACAGUACGUGAAAUUGUCAAAAGGGAAGCGUUUGACACCAGUGUUGUUUUCUCGAAAAUCAAUUAAAAAGAGUUGGAUUUUGUGUUGUAUUGACUUUAUCAGCUUUCUUCACUCUUUUCCAGCUUUUUUUAAUGCACUUUUCGUUUAACAAGUCAACAUCAGUUUCUUUUGUUGUAAAAAGGUCAGUUGGAAGGUGGCUUUCUCUUCGGAGAAAGUGUUUAUAGCCUUUGACUCAUGCAAUCGGAGAGACUGAGGUCUGCAGCGUAGAUCCUUCGGGGUUAGAUACAUUUGUGCUAAGUUAUAGCUUUUCAUAGACAACUUGUUGACUAUGUUUAGUCUUGUAGCUUACUCGCUUAUGCUAUUUUACCUACGCUUAGGAUGUUGAACUCUAUCACACACAG